UACGUAGGUGGCAAGCGUUGUCCGGAUUUACUGGGCGUAAAGAGCGCGCAGGCGGUCGUCCAAGUCGCGUGUGAAAGCCCCCGGCUCAACUGGGGAGGGUCACGCGAUACUGGUCGACUCGAAGGCAGGAGAGGGUAGUGGAAUUCCCGGUGUAGUGGUGAAAUGCGUAGAUAUCGGGAGGAACACCAGUGGCGAAGGCGGCUUCCUGGACCUGUUCUGACACUGAGGAGCGAAAGCGUGGGGAGCGAUCCGG
rnacentral:rRNA from 1 species